AGUGAACGCUGGCGGUAGGCCUAACACAUGCAAGUCGAACGGCAGCACAGGAGAGCUUGCUCUCUGGGUGGCGAGUGGCGGACGGGUGAGGAAUACAUCGGAAUCUACUCUGUCGUGGGGGAUAACGUAGGGAAACUUACGCUAAUACCGCAUACGACCUACGGGUGAAAGCAGGGGAUCUUCGGACCUUGCGCGAUUGAAUGAGCCGAUGUCGGAUUAGCUAGUUGGCGGGGUAAAGGCCCACCAAGGCGACGAUCCGUAGCUGGUCUGAGAGGAUGAUCAGCCACACUGGAACUGAGACAUGGUCCAGACUCCUACGGGAGGCAGCAGUGGGGAAUAUUGGACAAUGGGCGCAAGCCUGAUCCAGCCAUACCGCGUGGGUGAAGAAGGCCUUCGGGUUGUAAAGCCCUUUUGUUGGGAAAGAAAUCCAGCUGGCUAAUACCCGGUUGAGAUGACGGUACCCAAAGAAUAAGCACCGGCUAACUUCGUGCCAGCAGCCGCCGUAA
rnacentral:rRNA from 1 species